GACGAACGCUGGCGGCGCGCCUAACACAUGCAAGUCGAACGAGAGAGAGGGAGCUUGCUUCCUCAAUCGAGUGGCGAACGGGUGAGUAACGCGUGAGGAACCUGCCUCAAAGAGGGGGACAACAGUUGGAAACGACUGCUAAUACUGCAUAAGCCCACGACCCGGCAUCGGGUUGAGGGAAAAGGAGCAAUCCGCUUUGAGAUGGCCUCGCGUCCGAUUAGCUAGUUGGUGAGGUAAUGGCCCACCAAGGCAACGAUCGGUAGCCGGACUGAGAGGUUGAACGGCCACAUUGGGACUGAGACACGGCCCAGACUCCUACGGGAGGCAGCAGUGGGGAAUAUUGCACAAUGGGGGAAACCCUGAUGCAGCGACGCCGCGUGGAGGAAGAAGGUCUUCGGAUUGUAAACUCCUGUUGUUGAGGAAGAUAAUGACGGUACUCAACAAGGAAGUGACGGCA
rnacentral:rRNA from 1 species